rnacentral:rRNA from 1 species
CCUACGGGCGGCAGCAGUGGGGAAUAUUGCACAAUGGGGGGAACCCUGAUGCAGCAACGCCGCGUGAAGGAAGACGGUUUUCGGAUUGUAAACUUCUAUCAAUAGGGAAGAAAGAAAUGACGGUAUCUAACGAAUAAGCACCGGCUAACUCCGUGCCAGCAGCCGCUGUAAUACGGAGGGUGCAAGCGUUACUCGGAAUCACUGGGCGUAAAGAGCGCGUAGGCGGGAUAGCAAGUCAGAUGUGAAAUCCUAUGGCUUAACCAUAGAACUGCAUUUGAAACUGUUAUUCUAGAGUAUGGGAGAGGUAGGUGGAAUUCUUGGUGUAGGGGUAAAAUCCGUAGAGAUCAAGAAGAAUACUCAUUGCGAAGGCGACCUGCUAGAACAUAACUGACGCUGAUGCGCGAAAGCGUGGGGAGCAAACAGGAUUAGAUACCCCUGUAGUC